CGUAAAGAGCUCGUAGGUGGUUUGUCGCGUUGUUCGUGAAAUCUCACGGCUUAACUGUGAGCGUGCGGGCGAUACGGGCAGACUUGAGUACUGCAGGGGAGACUGGAAUUCCUGGUGUAGCGGUGGAAUGCGCAGAUAUCAGGAGGAACACCGGUGGCGAAGGCGGGUCUCUGGGCAGUAACUGACGCUGAGGAGCGAAAGCGUGGGGAGCGAACAGGAUUAGAUACCCUGGUAGUCCACGCCGUAAACGGUGGGUACUAGGUGUGGGUUUCCUUCCUUGGGAUCCGUGCCGUAGCUAACGCAUUAAGUACCCCGCCUGGGGAGUACGGCCGCAAGGCUAAAACUCAAAGAAAUUGACGGGGGCCCGCACAAGCGGCGGAGCAUGUGGAUUAAUUCGAUGCAACGCGAAGAACCUUACCUGGGUUUGACAUGCACAGGACGCCGGCAGAGAUGUCGGUUCCCUUGUGGCCUGUGUGCAGGUGGUGCAUGGCUGUCGUCAGCUCGUGUCGUGAGAUGUUGGGUUAAGUCCCGCAACGAGCGCAACCCUUGUCUCAUGUUGCCAGCGGGUAAUGCCGGGGACUCGUGAGAGACUGCCGGGGUCAACUCGGAGGAAGGUGGGGAUGACGUCAAGUCAUCAUGCCCCUUAUGUCCAGGGCUUCACACAUGCUACAAUGGCCGGUACAAAGGGCUGCGAUGCCGCGAGGUUAAGCGAAUCCUUUUAAAGCCGGUCUCAGUUCGGAUCGGGGUCUGCAACUCGACCCCGUGAAGUCGGAGUCGCUA
rnacentral:rRNA from 1 species